AGAAAAGAGUUGUGGUGCAAAAAGAUUCUGUAGCAUGCACAUGGCUGAAGAGGAGUCUAUGGCACAGCAGAUAAUUUACCACAGCACUCUGCAACAUCUCCCCCCCUCCAUGUCCUGUCCCCCUCAGCUUUUCAGUUUCUAAUAUCCUUUUUAAAAAAAAUUGUUUUCUCGAGGGAGCACUGGCGCAUGACCCUCCAGAGCUGCAAGGUUAGAGCUUCCUUCUUGUAAAGCUGAUGGCAGAGCAGUUGUCAUGAACUGUGAUACAUGCAGUUGGGAAGGCAUUUUGUGGCAUCACAAAGCAAAGCCAUGCCAUGCCAGCUCUGACUUCAGGCUGGAGAAGACCACCCUGCAGUUCUCACUGUUGGAGACAAAGAGGUCCAUUCUGGAUCCCACUGGUGCCUCUUGAAGAGAUGUCCAGCUACCUCAGAACUUCACUGAGUGGCACCACCAUCUGCUGAAGCACUCUCAGAAGCAUCAUGCACCCAGAUUCAGCUCAUUUAUGGCUGGCACUGCUUGAGUUCAGUUGGUCUCCUCUGCCUUCAUUGCCCAAAUGUAAAUGGUUGCAGAAAUUUCCAGAUGAAAGUUUAUGACAUAAAUGAAUUCUUAGUGAUUGAUUUUUGUUUUCCUCUGUGAAGUCCACACAAUGGGAGACGGCUGCUUAUCACUGAGUAAGAUCAUUGAAUGAUUUAAUGGGGGGUUAAAUGAAAAGUAAGAGUUUUCAUACUGGUGUGAUGUAAAUCCUGCGUCCAAUUAAAGCCUCAAAGCAUUUUUUAAAAGCUGUAUAAAAGGUGAAUCAUUUCUGUAAACAGCCCUUAAAGUGAAAACCCAACACCUUUGCUGUGGGAGAAGUAAUACGCUCUCAAAUACCUCAGCAAACAAAGAGUCCCUCGCCUUCUGCGAGCUUCUCUCCUUUUUUUUUUUUUUCAGCAGCUCAGCAUGGGGUGCCAGAAAAAUCAUUAACGGGCCCAUCUUGCACUUCUGGCUUUUCCACACCUGCGGGUCCCCAUCUCUGCCGUAGCUUUAUGGACCGUGAGGAGGCAGGUUUGACGCCAGGAAAGACAGGCUCAGCCAACAGCUGCAGGAGGGGCAGAGGGCCAGACAGUAAAAUGUAAAGAGGAGGAAGGAGAGGGAGCACCUUUGAAGUUUACCAAAAAAACAAAAGCAUGACUUUGACCACUUCCUUUUUUAAUUAGCUGUCUCAGGUACAUUGAGCCACCAGUUUGAAUGGAUACUGGUAGGGGGUUGUUGGAAAUGUCGAAGGCAAUACUGUAAGGGCUUCAGCACAA